AGCCCCCAAUUCAACAAAGACUGAUGGAUACAAUAGGGGCAAGAAGGUAGCAGAAUCUGUACCUGAGGAAUCGCCCAGGUUUGGGCUGCAAGUGGAUUGGCAAAGAGCGGAGCAACCAUGGGGCUCCCUCAGUGAUCUCCUCGGGGAUGAAGAGUUCUUGGAGGUCGAGCAUGACAUUUGAUUCUUCAAGGAUGAUGAUGAUGGUGCCCUCAAGCUGCCUCUUUCUGCACUGGAUGCUUGAAAAUAGAAACCAUGCCGUCGGUUCUAGAUCUUUCCACCAACGUGGAAAAGGAACGCUAACGGGCAUCGCCAGCAUUUCGUGAGUGGUUACUGCAGCUGGCCUGGAGCUCCUCGGUUUGCACAUGUUAGUCAUCUCAGUGAAUCCCUGUCACACCUCAGGAGAGAGCCACCAUUGGUUAUCUCCACUCUAUCUGUGAAGAAGGAGUCUGCCCGAGAUCACCCCCACCACCAGUGCGCCGGGGCAUCUGUCUGCGGCACAGCACAGCAUCCCUCUCCUGCCCUCCAGAUGUCCUUGACUCCCACCUUCAAAAGCAAGUUGACAUCCUCAUUCAAGAGCAAGGGCCAGCUUGGGUCCAUAUUCCUUCUGGAAACUUCCACAGAUGACCCAGCUUGCAUGGCCGCACUUCUCUGAAUGUCAUACACCUGUCUACUCCAGAGGAGGCAACUCUAAUGGGACCUAUGACAUCCAUCAUCAUGGACAGUUGUUAACCACUGAAUUAUUAUUUAACUCCUUGUCUCUGUGACGCUUUUUUCUCCACCCAGGCUGUUUCUUGGGGAGACUGUGUAUUAUGAGUCUUUGUUUUCCUGUAGCCCCCAGCACAUGUCUCUCUCCAUAUGUGAGACAAUCAAUGUUACUUGAAUAAAUGAAUAAGAGAAUGAA
ensembl:lncRNA